AACGAACGCUGGCGGCAGGCUUAACACAUGCAAGUCGAGCGCCCCGCAAGGGGAGCGGCAGACGGGUGAGUAACGCGUGGGAAUCUACCCAUCUCUACGGAAUAACGCAUGGAAACGUGUGCUAAUACCGUAUACGUCCUUCGGGAGAAAGAUUUAUCGGAGAUGGAUGAGCCCGCGUUGGAUUAGCUAGUUGGUGGGGUAAAGGCCUACCAAGGCGACGAUCCAUAGCUGGUCUGAGAGGAUGAUCAGCCACACUGGGACUGAGACACGGCCCAGACUCCUACGGGAGGAAGCAGGGGGGAAUAUUGGACAAUGGGCGCAAGCUUGAUCCAGCCAUGCCGCGUGAGUGAUGAAGGCCCUAGGGUUGUAAAGCUCUUUCACCGGUGAAGAUAAUGACGGUAACCGGAGAAGAAGCCCCGGCUAACUUCGUGCCAGCCGCCGCGGUAAAAC
rnacentral:rRNA from 1 species